UUACAGCUUGAUGAAAUUGAGUGAUGAUAGUAUCACCAAGGCGUCAUGAAAGACAAAAAAAUGUACAUGUCUUACUGCUCGUUUACAAAACUGCUUCAACUGUUUUCGGACAUUGUUUACAGCUGAAGGUCUUGGAAGAAACUAUCACUAGACCAACAAGAGAAAAAAGAUAGCUCUAUCGAUAAGGAAACAUUUUUCCCAUGGAAGUAUUCCUUUGAGUUGAAUCUUGCAGUGCAACUUCCUUUGAAGGUGACGGUAUUAAUGAGACCCUUGAGAAUACAAAGAAGAAAUAUGUUAAUUGGAAAUGUAGGUGCAAAACAUUUCAUCAUUCAGAUUCUUUUGGGUGAACCCUGUACACUAACUAAUAGGAAUAAUCAUACCCUUGAGAAUAGAAAGAAGAAACAUGUUAAUUGGGAAUACAGGUGCAAAACAUUUGAUCAAUGGGUUUCUUAGGGUGAACCUUGUUACACUAACUAACAGGAACUGCUAAUUUCAGAAGUUACCUAAGGUGACUACAUAUGCAGAAUGAGUAAAGAUUGGCCUUCAAAGCUUCACUUGAAUAUGUGGAAACCCUGCUGAAACAUAUACAUGUUCGGUAUGAAAGAACAUGCUCUAAGAAAAUAACAUCUCUUUUCUGUCCUUGGGAGACAAAUAAAUAGAGAACUUACAUGUCUCUGCAGGAAAGAAGUUACUAACGGCAGCUGAAUUUCAUUGUCCUUGCAAGUUACAAUCUCAAAAAGGAAUUUUGACGUAGAGCUUGUAAAUCAUCCUACAGUAUUUUAGAAAAAGUGCAGUUUAAUUCCUGAUAUGUUCCAAUUAAUGACCAAAAAGGAAAAAUAUGUCUAUCGCUUACAUUAGAGAACCCCUCCAAUCCGAGACCUUUGUACUUCUAACAUACUGAAGAAGGAAAAUUCCUGAGUCAUACCUGUGAAAAAAAUAAUAGCACAAUCAGUUCCAUACUCAAGAUGGAAAUUAUUGUGAAUUUAAAAUAAUUUUAAUCUGUUUUUAGGAGAAAUAACCAAAAUGUUGGUGGUGGCUGGUACAAAUCUUGUAAAAGGGGAGAUUUCCAUGGAAAACCCACCUGAAAUUGACCUUGGGAGCUGGUACAAAUCUUGAUUCAAAAUUUCCUAUGUUGAAAGAACUAGAAUUUUCGAAUGUGGCAGCAAACAAAACCUUGAAGUUUGCUGCUUAAUGUUGUAUAUAAAUUUCCAUGGAAGAAAUAUUUACUAGAUUCUCAAUAAAAAAUUGUUCCUUGAAUAAUGUUCAUUGGAUAAUUUUCUCAAAUAAAAAAUAAAAUAAAAUGUUCUUCAAAUAAAAAAAUGUUCUCUGAAGUAUUAAAAUGUUCUUCAAGUCAAAUAAAUAUUUCCUCGGCAUCAACAAUUAAUGCUACUUGAAAAAAUGUUCCUUGAAUAGUGUUCUGUAAAAUAAUGAUAACUGCAUAAUGUUCCCUGGAUAACGUUCGUUGCAAAAUGUUCCUGGGUGCCAAAAGAAAUUAGUUGAAUAAUGUUCUUCGAAGCUUGAAUAAAUAAUUGUUCCAUUAAUAAUGUUCCCUCAAUAAAAAUUUGCUUAGCGCUUACAAAAUAGUUCAAACAUUGUUGAGGGAACAACAAAAAUUAGAUUAUUAAGGGAAUAUCGUUCUAUCAACAAUUCUUAGGGAAUAUUGAUGAGGGAACAUUAUUUGGAGAACAUUAUUCAGGGAACAUUAUUGGGGGGACAAAAAAAAUAAACAUUUAAUUGGAGACCAUUAUUAAAGGGACAUUCUUCAAAGAACAUUAUAGGGGAACAAAAGAAAUUGAACAUUUAUUUGGGGAACAUUAUUAAAGGUACAUUAAUGAGGGAACAUUCUUCAAGGAAUUUUUUUACUACAUUCUGAAUAUAAUAAUGUUCUAAAAAAACACUAAAUUGUUCCCUAAUAAAUAAUGUUCUCUGAAGUUUAAAAAUGUUCUUCAAGUCAAAUAAUUUUUCCUCGGCAUCAACAAUUAUUUGGGGAACAUUUUGGAGAACAAUAUUAAAGAAACAUUAUCUAGGGAACAUUAUUGGGGGAACAAAAAAGUUGAACAAUAUUUAGGGAACAUAUUAAAGGAACAUUAAUCAGUGAAAAAUUGUAGGGGAACUAUAAUUCCCUGGUUAAUAAAAAAUGAACAUUUAACUGGGGAACAUUAUUAAAGGAACAUUAUUGGGGGGGGGGACAAGUAUUGCUCUGAUGAUAAUUGAAUAAUGUUCCUUGGGGUGAACAAUUUUUUGUUGUUGCUUGAAUAAUGUUCCCUCAAUAAUGUUCUAAAAAACACUAAAUUGUUCCCUAAUAAAUAAUGUUCUAUGAAGUUUAAAAAUGUUCUUCAAGUCAAAUAUUUUUUCCUCGGCAUCAACAAAAAGUAUCAACCUAAUAUGUGUACAUCUUGCAAGUUUCAUCUUGUAUUACUAGGUUAACAUCCUAUAUCAAAAACUAUAGUCACAUCACCUACUAUCUCUACUCUUAUAAAAAACAGAGUUGGUGUUGAUGGUGUGCCUGCCAUCCUGCAAUAUAGGCCAUCCGAUUUAUAUCUGACGGAUAGGAAGGAAACUAUGGCAAUUUUGCAAAAAGAUACCCACACCCCUCUCCACAUUUGCAAAUAAAUCCUUCCCUCGUUCAUCCUUUUCUCUCACAAGAUAAACUACUCACAUAAAUGCAUCUUGAUGUUUCGUGCAACGCAUGGGCAUAACGGACACUGGCCUACAGUGCACAGAUAUAUACAUGGAAAAAAAUCAAUGGACCAUGAGCUCAGACCAAGAGCUCACCACGGCUGUUUUGAAAUAGGAUGUCGAACAAGCAGUGGGGCCGUCGAAUGGAAGUGCCUAGCACCGCGUGCCUUGAUGAGCCCCUUGUCCUCUCUCUGCUGUACCGAUGGAAUACUUCU
rnacentral:lncRNA from 1 species